rnacentral:rRNA from 1 species
UACGGAGGGGCGAGCGUUAUUCGGAAUUAUUGGGCGUAAAGGGCGCGUAGGCGGCAUGGUAAGUCAAAGGUGAAAUCCCUCGGCUCAACUGAGGAAUUGCCUUUGAAAACUGCCAAGCUUGAGGCCGGGAGGGGGUAGCCGGGAAUUCCCGAGUGUAGCGGUGAAAUGCGUAGAUACUGGGAGGAACACCGGUGGCGAAGGCGGCUCACUGGCCCGGUACUGGAC